GAUGAACGCUAGCGGCAGGCUUAAUACAUGCAAGUCGUGGGGCAGCAGGACUGUAGCAAUACAGUUGCGGGCGACCGGCAAACGGGUGCGGAACACGUACGCAACUUACCCUGAACUGGGGGAUAGCCCGGGGAAACCCGGAUUAAUACCCCGUAAUAUAAUGGAGUGGCAUCACUUUAUUAUUAAAGCUCCGGCGGUUCGGGAUGGGCGUGCGGCUGAUUAGGUAGUUGGUUGAGGUAACGGCUCACCAAGCCUACGAUCAGUAACUGGUGUGAGAGCACGCCCAGUCAGACGGGAACCGCGACACGGGCCCGACUCGUACGGAGGAGAGGAGUAAGUAAGACAGGGCAAUGGAGCCAAAUCUGACCCAGCCAUGUCGGGUGGAGGAGGAUGGCCGUCGGGGUUGUAAACUGCUUUUAUAGGGGACGAACCCGGUGUAUUCUCACGCAGUUGACGGUACCCUAGGAAUAAGCACCGGCUAACUUCGUG
rnacentral:rRNA from 1 species